rnacentral:rRNA from 1 species
AACGAACGCUGGCGGCAGGCCUAACACAUGCAAGUCGAGCGCCCUUUCGGGGGAGCGGCGGCCGGGUGAGUAACGCGUGGGAAUAUGCCCUUCUCUACGGAAUAGCCUCGGGAAACUGAGAGUAAUACCGUAUACGCCCUGUGGGGGAAAGAUUUAUCGGGGAAGGAUUAGCCCGCGUUGGAUUAGGUAGUUGGUAGGGUAAUGGCCUACCAAGCCGACGAUCCAUAGCUGGUUUGAGAGGAUGAUCAGCCACACUGGGACUGAGACACGGCCCAGACUCCUACGGGAGGCAGCAGUGGGGAAUCUUAGACCAUGGGGGCAAACCUGAUCGAGCCAUGCCGCGUGAGUGAUGAAGGCCUUAGGGUUGUAAAGCUCUUUCAGCUGGGAAGAUAAUGACGGUACCAGCAGAAGAAGCCCCGGCUAACUCCGUG